rnacentral:tRNA from 1 species
CACUGUAGAGCUAAAUUAGCAUUAACCUUUUAAGUUAAAGACUAAGAGGACCACUACCUCUUUNCAGUGA